rnacentral:rRNA from 1 species
CCUACGGGAGGCAGCAGUAGGGAAUAUUGCUCAAUGGGGGAAACCCUGAUGCAGCAACGCCGCGUGGAGGAUGAAGGUUUUCGGAUUGUAAACUCCUUUCGUUAGAGAGGAUAAUGACGGUAUCUAACAAAUAAGCACCGGCUAACUCCGUGCCAGCAGCCGCGGUAAUACGGAGGGUGCAAGCGUUACUCGGAAUCACUGGGCGUAAGGAGCGCGUAGGCGGGAUAGCAAGUCAGAUGUGAAAUCCUAUGGCUUAACCAUAGAACUGCAUUUGAAACUGUUCUGCUAGAGUAUGGGAGAGGGAGGUGGAAUUCUUGGUGUAGGGGUAAAAUGCGUAGAGAUCAAGAGGAAUACUCAUUGCGAAGGCGACCUGCUAGAACAUAACUGACGCUGAGGCGCGAAAGCGUGGGGAGCAAACAGGAUUAGAUACCCCUGUAGUC